rnacentral:tRNA from 1 species
GGAGGGUAUAGCUCAGUGGUAGAGUGUUUGCUUUGCAUGCACAAGGUCCUGGGUUCAAUCCUCAGUACCUCCA